UACGUAGGGUGCAAGCGUUAAUCGGAAUUACUGGGCGUAAAGCGCGCGUAGGCGGCUCGGAAAGUCGGGCGUGAAAUGCCGGGGCUCAACCCCGGGACUGCGUCCGAUACUUCCGAGCUGGAGGUAGGUAGGGGAGAUCGGAAUUCCUGGUGUAGCGGUGAAAUGCGCAGAUAUCAGGAGGAACACCGGUGGCGAAGGCGGAUCUCUGGGCCUUACCUGACGCUGAGGCGCGAAAGCUAGGGGAGCGAACAGG
rnacentral:rRNA from 1 species